UGUCGUGUCGUGUCGCGUCGCGAGUCACUUUUUACGCGUGAAGUUAACCGCACAUGAAAAACGACGCCGCUCCCCCACUUCGACGCAUUCACAUUUUAUUCGCGAAAUGCGGCGGAGCGACAUGGCGGAACGGACUGGCUCUCAGACAAGUGGAAACGCACGAUCAAAUAUGAAUGCGGCGAAUACGAGAUGGUCGGUUUCAAAUGAGUGGCGACGCGACUUAUUUAAUUGGUACUGUCUACAUGUCAUAAAGUAAACAAGAAAAGAGAAAGAGAAGAGAGACGAGAAGCAGGCUUGAUAAUUCUGUGAAAAGGAGGAGGAAGAAGAAAAGGAGGAAGCUUAGGAAAAGCAAUGGAGCAAUUUUGCGAACUAUGUAGCCACGUAGCUGAUAACUCUACUGCUACGCAUUAGUCGCUUCUUUUCAGUACGUGCAAGGGACAUUGCGUUUUUUCAGGGAUUCUUUUCGGGUUUAAAUCGAAAUUUGCUUACAUACGAGGUACGGUCCGAUAUGUGAGAUCGUUGCAAUACGUGUUCAAUUCUCGUCACGUUUAUCGGUCCGUCGAGCUUGUCUCGUACGACUAGCGUCUAACAAGCCGAUAAGCCGAAUUAACCAUAAUUAAUGCACGAGGGAUGUGGGCAAUACCGCCCCAGAAAGUGGGUUGCCUCACGUCGCGUCUAUCAGCCAAGCGUUUGUACACUUGUUGUGACACAGACUACUGUGGAUCGCAAAGUAUUAUGGUUAUGAAGGCCUCGUCGACGUUAGACGCGCGUUAAACGUGACACGAGAAGCCAACCGUAUUCGCAAUGAUCUCAUUGUCGGUCCUGCAUCCGCCGCGUCGAUCGUAGCACAUCGUCAGUAACUUUGCGUGUCGGGCAAUUGGCAUUGUUGUUUGCACUUUUCAUGAAGGAUUUGCAACAUCAAUAUAUAGUGAUUCGCAAGACUUUAUUAUAAUAUUUCGCGAGAAUUUAA